AUUGAACGCUGGCGGAAUGCUUUACACAUGCAAGUCGAACGGCAGCACGGACUUCGGUCUGGUGGCGAGUGGCGAACGGGUGAGUAAUGUAUCGGAACGUGCCCAGUCGUGGGGGAUAACGUAGUGACAAUUACGCUAAUACCGCAUACGAUCUAUGGAUGAAAGCGGGGGAUCGCAAGACCUCGCGCGAUUGGAGCGGCCGAUACCAGAUUAGGUAGGUGGUGGGGUAAAGGGCCACCAACCCAACGAUCUGUAGCUGGUCUGAGAGGACGACCAGCCACACUGGAACUGAGACACGGUCCAGACUCCUACGGGAGGCAGCAGUGGGGAAUUUUGGACAAUGGGCGAAAGCCUGAUCCAGCCAUUCCGCGUGCAGGAUGAAGGCCCUCGGGUUGUAAACUGCUUUUGUACAGAACGAAAAGGUUUCUACUAAUACUAGGAGCUCAUGACGGUACUGUAAGAAUAAGCACCGGCUAACUACGUGCCAGCCGCCGCAGUAA
rnacentral:rRNA from 1 species